GAAGAUCGUACUGCUACUGUUUGCCAUAGAAACGGUUAAUGAGAAAGUUACCGUUUUCCAUCCAUCUUUAAAUUAGCAUCUAGCUGGAAGGCGAACAGCUCCUCCCCCUGCACACAGAGUGGAGCAGUCGCCCCAACAGGAAACAUCUUUGGCCCAAAAUACGAGAACCGCUCAACCAAACGACCUGAAACUCAACACUGAGCUCAUCGACGUCCUCAGAAACACACCAGCUGAGUCUGAAGUGGAUCAGCUGACCGUGGACGCUUCUGUCCAUCUAACUGUUUGAAGGUCAACAUGAAGAGCUGCUGUCAGUGCAGAAGUCUCAUGCUGUUGGCAGCACGUCAUACUCAGAUUAAAUCACCACAAAAGUCUGAAGUCGUGCUUCAUUUGGUCCACAGAUGAAUCCACUCGAAGCCCAGACCUCCCACCGUCCUGCUGAUCUGACCGACAACACGUUUAAAAACGUCUGCGUAACAGCGAUGAGUCUGACACGUCAUCAAACAACGAAUGACACACAAUUCAUACAUGUUAAAAAAACCAAAUCAGGCUCAGGUAAACAAUCUGUGGAAACCGUUUAAUGUUCAAAUGUAACUUUAUUUAUAGAAAGCAGACUCAACAUUUAAUUUCUGUGUUAUAGUCUCAUCUGUGUUUCUUUGAAUGAAGCUGUCGACAUCUGUCUGCCUGCGCUGCAGUUUUUCAUCUGGUAAAUACUUAAUUCAGAUGGAGCAGAGUAUUUAUAUUAAUACUAAUGUUGAAAACACAAGAAACAAUAAACUGGUUUUAACUGUUAACUUCA